UUCCACAGGUGCAGGUACAUCAAGUUGAUUGUGGAGCUUUAAUCCGCUGCUUCUGAGGCUGCUGGGAGAGAUUUCCCUUUCUCUUCUUUGUUCUCACAACUCCCAGGGGCUCAGCUUUGGAUUUGGCCCCGCCUGUGCGUGUAGGUCGCCGGAGGGCGUCUGUUCUUUGCUCAGACAGGACGGGGUUACAGGAGCCGCUGAUUCGGAGGCUCUGGCUCAGCUCACUCAGGCCGGGGGGUAGGGAGGGUCACGGAGUGUGGGGCGGGCCUGCGGCGGCAGAGGCCGACGUGACGUUGCUAGCCUGAGGCGCGCCGUGCGUUCUCCCGGGGGAGUUGUCCCUGGAUCCCGGGACCCCGGCAGUGGCGGGCUGCACAGGCUCCCCGGAAGGGGGUGUGGAUAGUGACCUGUGCCCGCACACAGGCUUCUUGAUGGCGGCAGCAGCGGCCCUAGCGUCUCAUGUCUGUCUCUGGGCUCCGCACUUUCAGCCGCGGCUCGCGCCCGUCUCUGGAGCUCUCUCAAGCAGCGUUCCUAAUCCCCUCUCCUCGUGCACCAGGAAACAAAGAGGUUGCAAGGCAGUAAACUGCUGUCCUGUCCUCAUCUGUAGACUACUCACUAGGUUAAAGAAGAAAAACAUUUCAACCUACAUAUUAAUGGAAUCAGAAAGGCUUAGGGAAAAGAGUCAGCAAGACCCAUGUUCAGAAUUUGCUGAGCCUCAGUUUCCUCAUCUGUGAAACGGGAGUAACAUAAUCUGCGGCUCUGCUCUGAGGACCAAAAACAGCUUCCCACUCUGCGUGUGUGUUACCUCUCCGUGAGGCCCCACUUGUGGGCAGGAAAUCACACUCGAAGGUUGCUUGUACGCAGGCCACUCACUGUUGUGGCCUCUCCCGUUGCGGAGCACAGGCUCUGGACGCGCAGGCCCAGCGGCCAUGGCUCACGGGCCCAGCCGCUCCACGUCAUGUGGGAUCUUCCCGGACCGGGGCACGAACCCGCAUCCCCUGCAUCGGCAGGCGGACUCUCAACCACUGCGCCACCAGGGAAGCCCUAAACUCCACCUCCUGAAGGCUGGAGAUGUUCAGCAUUUGAUAAUUUCAGAAACAGUUGCAUUUAACUUCUUGGAAGACCAGCUAAUUCUCCAUUGUUUGUGCUAUUGGAGAGCUGUAGUAGUCAAACACAAAAUUAUCCUCCAGGUCCCAGCUUCUCAAGGUGUGGUCUUCGGGCUGGCAGGCUGGGCAUCCCCGAACCUGGUUCAAAAUGCAGAAGCUCAGGUCCACCUCAGACUGCCUGAAUCAGAGGCUUAUUGUAACAAUAUCUGCGGGUAAUCCGUGUGCUGCUAAGGCUGGAAAAGGCCUGCUCUAGGUGACACGACACCAUUCAUCCUUGUGUGCCUGUCAUAUUUCCUGAAAACAUAUGAUCCCAUCUCUGGAGUAGGAUCAGCAUUAAGCCCACUCUCCGUGUUUGAAUAACACAAACAAGCUGACAACAUGUAAGAACCAUUUAAUGUGUUUUCCUUUGGUUGGCUAAUCUUUGGUAAGACAUCAGGGCAGACUACAUAUUGUCACACUUCGGUGUCAG